CCUACGGGAGACUGCAGUGAGGAAUAUUGGUCAAUGGGCGCGAGCCUGAACCAGCCAAGUAGCGUGAAGGAUGACUGCCCUACGGGUUGUAAACUUCUUUUAUCAAGGAAUAAAGUGAGGCACGUGUGCCUUUUUGUAUGUACUUUAUGAAUAAGGAUCGGCUAACUCCGUGCCAGCAGCCGCGGUAAUACGGAGGAUCCGAGCGUUAUCCGGAUUUAUUGGGUUUAAAGGGUGCGUAGAUGGGUUGGUAAGUCAGUUGUGAAAGUAUGCGGCUCAACCGUAAAAUUGCAGUUGAUACUGGCAGCCUUGAGUACAGUAGAGGUAGGCGGAAUGCGUGGUGUAGCGGUGAAAUGCUUAGAUAUCACGCAGAACUCCGAUUGCGAAGGCAGCUUACUAAACUGCCACUGACACUGAUGCUCGAAAGUGUGGGUAUCGAACAGGAUUAGAUACCCGGGUAGUC
rnacentral:rRNA from 1 species